UGAUCAGGCCACACCUGGAACUGAAGAACACGGUCCAGACUCUACGGAAGGCAGCAGUGGGGAUAUUGCACAAUGGCGCAAGCUGAUGCAGCAUGCGCGUGUGUGAAGAAGCUUCGGGUGUAAAGCACUUCAGUCGUGAGGAAGGGUAGUGUAGUUAAUAGCUGCAUUAUUUGACGUUAGCGACAGAAGAAGCACCGGCUAACUCCGUGCCAGCAGCCGCGGUAAUACGGAGGGUGCGAGCGUUAAUCGGAAUUACUGGGCGUAAAGCGCAUGCAGGUGGUUUGUUAAGUCAGAUGUGAAAGCCCGGGGCUCAACCUCGGAAUUGCAUUUGAAACUGGCAGACUAGAGUACUGUAGAGGGGGGUAGAAUUUCAGGUGUAGCGGUGAAAUGCGUAGAGAUCUGAAGGAAUACCGGUGGCGAAGGCGGCCCCCUGGACAGAUACUGACACUCAGAUGCGAAAGCGUGGGGAGCAAACAGGAUUAGAUACCCUGGUAGUCCACGCCGUAAACGAUGUCUACUUGGAGGUUGUGGCCUUGAGCCGUGGCUUUCGGAGCUAACGCGUUAAGUAGACCGCCUGGGGAGUACGGUCGCAAGAUUAAAACUCAAAUGAAUUGACGGGGGCCCGCACAAGCGGUGGAGCAUGUGGUUUAAUUCGAUGCAACGCGAAGAACCUUACCUACUCUUGACAUCCAGAGAACUUUCCAGAGAUGGAUUGGUGCCUUCGGGAACUCUGAGACAGGUGCUGCAUGGCUGUCGUCAGCUCGUGUUGUGAAAUGUUGGGUUAAGUCCCGCAACGAGCGCAACCCUUAUCCUUGUUUGCCAGCGAGUAAUGUCGGGAACUCCAGGGAGACUGCCGGUGAUAAACCGGAGGAAGGUGGGGACGACGUCAAGUCAUCAUGGCCCUUACGAGUAGGGCUACACACGUGCUACAAUGGCGCAUACAGAGGGCGGCCAACUUGCGAAAGUGAGCGAAUCCCAAAAAGUGCGUCGUAGUCCGGAUUGGAGUCUGCAACUCGACUCCAUGAAGUCGGAAUCGCUAGUAAUCGUGGAUCAGAAUGCCACGGUGAAUACGUUCCCGGGCCUUGUACACACCGCCCGUCACACCAUGGGAGUGGGCUGCAAAAGAAGUAGGUAGUUUAACCUUCGGGGGGACGCUUACCACUUAAGUGC
rnacentral:rRNA from 1 species